ensembl:lncRNA
GGGAGGUCCAGGAGUAUGUUAGGGAGGAGGUAAAUGAGAAGUUUUGGAAACAGAAAUGCGGAGGAGGAGAGGGGAUAGAGGAGGGGAGGGGGAUAGAGGAGGAGAGGGGAAUAGAGGAGGGGAGGGGGAUAGAGGAGGAGAGGGUGAUACAGGAGGAGAGGGGAAUAGAGGAGGGGAGGGUGAUACAGGAGGAGGGGGAUAGAGGAGGGGAGGGUGAUACAGGAGGAGAGGGGGAUAGAGGAGGGGAGGGGGAUAGAGGAGGUGAGGGGGAUACAGGAGGUGAGGGGGAUACAGGAGGAGAGGGGGAUACAGGAGGAGAGGGUGAUACAGGAGGAGAGGAUGAUACAGGAGGAGAGGAUGAUACAGGAGGAGAGGAUGAUACAGGAGCGAGGAUGAUACAGGAGGAGAGGAUGAUACAGGAGGAGAGGGUGAUACAGGAGGAGAGGGGGAUACAGGAGGAGAAUGGAAUGGAGGUUGGUGAGGGGGAUACAGGAGGUGAGGGGGAUACAGGAGGAGAGGGUGAUACAGGAGGAGAAUGGAAUGGAGGAGGUGAGG